UGGACGAGUUCCCGGAAUGGCUGCAACGUUCCAGCAUCGACCACCGGAUCAAAGACACCAACACCAAGUUGAAGAGGAUCGCUAAAAAGAAAAAAGAGCCUGUCAGUGUUUCAGGGCACCAACAACAAGAAGGAAAAGAAGAAAAACCAUUCCGGAGAAGAUGAUCUCACUUACGGUCCGCGGGAUUAUGUCAUUGGAUCAAGGCCGAAACUUUGGACAUGGAUUACUUCUGUCUCGGUUGUCAUCUGGAAAUUAUGGGCCCGUAUGUAUGGAACAUCCGCUCUUCUCUGGAAGUUUAUGCAAUCGCGAAUGCAAGAAUAAACUUCUGACAACGAGUUACAGCAUUGGCGAGGACCGAUAUUCACGUAAGCGCUUCAUUUUUUUUGAAAAUAA